rnacentral:rRNA from 1 species
GUGCCAGCCGCCGCGGUAAUACGGAGGGUGCAAGCGUUAUUCGGAAUUACUGGGCGUAAAGCGCACGUAGGCCGCUUUGUAAGUCAGGGGUGAAAUCCCACGGCUCAACCGUGGAACUGCCCUUGAAACUGCGAAGCUUGAAUCCUGGAGAGGGUGGCGGAAUUCCUGGUGUAGGAGUGAAAUCCGUAGAUAUCAGGAGGAACACCGGUGGCGAAGGCGGCCACCUGGACAGGUAUUGACGCUGAGGUGCGAAAGUGUGGGGAGCAAACAGGAUUAGAUACCCUGGUAGUCCACACCGUAAACGAUGGAUACUAGGUGUCGGGGACUUGAUCUUCGGUGCCGUAGCUAACGCGUUAAGUAUCCCGCCUGGGGAGUACGGUCGCAAGGCUGAAACUCAAAGGAAUUGGCGG